UAACGAUUAAAAAACUACAAAAAAAUUUAAAUAUUCUCAACUUUUCGAAAAAUCAUCCCUAUCUACAAUUUUAUCCGCUUCAAGUCCUUUUGGACGUUUAGUAUUUUGCUACUAGGUAGUACUCUCUACAAACAGUCAACAUGUGCUGCGGAGGUUGUUGCGGUGGAUGCUGCUGCGGUGGCUGCUGCUGCCCAUGCAUCACCAUCUACACAUGCUGCACCAAGAUCUGCUGAUGCUUCUAUCAAAACCCGUGUUGUGUGGAUGUCAUAUUCUCACAAGUGUUGUUGCGUAAAAUAAAUUAUGUAUUAAGCUUA